rnacentral:rRNA from 1 species
CAGCAGCCGCGGGAAUACAGAGGGUGCGAGCGUUAAUCGGAUUUACUGGGCGUAAAGCGUGCGUAGGCGGCUAAUUGAGUCGGAUGUGAAAUCCCCGAGCUUAACUUGGGAAUUGCAUUCGAUACUGGUUAGCUAGAGUGUGGGAGAGGAUGGUAGAAUUCCAGGUGUAGCGGUGAAAUGCGUAGAGAUCUGGAGGAAUACCGAUGGCGAAGGCAGCCAUCUGGCCUAACACUGACGCUGAGGUACGAAAGCAUGGGGAGCAAACAGGAUUAGAUACCCGUGUAGUCCCUGUCUCUUAUAA